ensembl:lncRNA
GUCCUGUAUUUAUGUUAGCGGCGUAUGUUUUGUAGAAUCAUGUCUCAGGGUGAGCAGGCAGCAGUGGUGACAGUGGGUACUCGUGUCCCCUCAGCCCACAGACACAAUCGGCCCAUGCACCAGACCACCUUCACUUUGGGGGACCAGGCCAUUAAUACAUAUUCCACAACUCAGGCUGAGGUAACAUUAGUCCAUAAUCUAAUCGACCAUUCAAAAUGAAAUAGCAAAUGUUGGUUUAUUCUCCUUCACUUUUUCAGAGCUACUCUGGCAUGGACGCCCAGGGGAAACCAUUAAUAUUUUUCUAUAGAGACGCGCCGUAUCCUUCCCAGCAUUAUGGAAACCUGGAUAUUACCAGUAACACGGGUGCAAUCCAAACCCAGACGCACAGCCGACACGUGUACACGCCUAAGACUAUAACCGAGCACCACGUCUUGCACAGCCACCAAGCGAGAAACCGAACCCGUAACUGCGAGGGAGAGACCAUGAAGGAAGUCACCAACCCCCCAGAAACUACUCCUUAUAUAACCACCUACUGCUCGGAGCAUAGUGUUCCUAAGGGUGGCUCUGACAGCACACCCCCCACGGGGAAGCCCACCCUCUGGCACCGGCAUGACAUUCUCACAGGGCAAGACAGAGGUCCUGUCAAUCAGGGGAGGGGAAGGAGAGCAUCCCGGGACAAGGUGCUGUGGGCGGACCGGCGGUGGGAGACAGACAGCGGCUCACUGAGACUUUACUGA